UACAGAGGUCUCAAGCGUUGUCCGGAGUUACUGGGCGUAAAGGGCAUGCAGGCGGUCCGACACGUUUUGUGUGACAGCGGGUGGCUUAACUACCCGAGGAUACGAAAGACGGUUGGACUUGAGGACUCGAGAGGGACACGGAAUUCCGGGUGGAGUGGUGAAAUGCGUAGAGAUGUGGAGGAACACCGAUGGCGAAGGCAGCCCCCUGGGCUAACACUGACGCUCAGGCACGAAAGCGUGGGGAGCAAACAGG
rnacentral:rRNA from 1 species